rnacentral:lncRNA from 1 species
UCUAAAUUUUGUGUAUAGGAUGGAUCAAUGAAUAGAGAUGGUUGGGAGGGCUUGAAUAUGUCAACUAUAUGACUUGGAAUGUUGCUUGGGCUCCCACACAUUGAAGUGGCCGGUUGGGGUGGUAUUUAUAGCCACCAACCAAAUUGUAGCCGUUGGAGAAGGCUGCUGAUGAUGGGCGACCGGACAGUCCGGUGCGCCGCCAUGUCAUCCUGCCGUUAGGGCUUGGAGCUGGUCGACCAUUGGAGGCUUUGUCCUCAUGCGGCACCGGACAGUCCGGUGCCCCUCUGACCUUCUGCUCUGACAUCUGAAUUACACUGUUCACUUUGAAGAGUCGACCGUUGCGCGCAGAUAGCCGUUGCUCCGCUGAUGCACCGGACAGUCCAGUGGCACAUCGGACAGUCCGGUGAAUUAUAGCGGAGCUAUGCCUGGGAAACCCGAAGUUGAAGAGUGUGAAUUACAGUCGAUUCUCCCUGGUGCACCGGACACUGUCCGGUGGUGCACCAGACAGUCCGGUGCGCCAGACCAGGACACACUUUGGUUUCCUUUGCUCCUUUGUUUUGAACCCUUUCUUUUAACUUUGUAUUGGUUUGUUGUGAACCUUUGGCACCUGUGGAACAUAUACUCUAG